rnacentral:rRNA from 1 species
UACGUAGGGGGCUAGCGUUGUCCGGAAUCAUUGGGCGUAAAGCGCGUGUAGGCGGCCCGGUAAGUCCGCUGUGAAAGUCGGGGGCUCAACCCUCGAAUGCCGGUGGAUACUGUCGGGCUCGAGUCCGGGAAGAGGAGAGUGGAAUUCCUGGUGUAGCGGUGAAAUGCGCAGAUAUCGGGAGGAACACCGGCGGCGAAGGCGGCUGCCUGGACCAGUCCUGACGCUGAGGCGCGAAAGCUAGGGGAGCAAACAGG